AAGCAGCUAAAAAGUCCUUCCAGUCAGUUGCAACAACAAUUAAAGCAGCAGGAAACAACCAAGUACACAUGCAAGUGACAAUGAGGAUUGCAAAAGUUUUAAAUAUCA
rnacentral:lncRNA from 1 species